AGAAGACCAAAUAAAUGAACCCUAAGAAAUAGGGCAGCGAACAAAAAGAGUGCGAACACUAAAAUUCUUUUUCUAUCUCGCAUUAUUUCUUGUAUCUUUGUUAAGAAGCUUCCUCUGGUGGCCACUAUGCAUUGCAUGCUUUGAAUGAACUGGGGUUUUGAUGUAUAACUUCAAUAGGCUCAUGCAUGUUCUAAUUCUUCCACAUGACUAUCACUGCAUACUUUUUGAAAAUAGUCAUUUGUCACUGUGACUGUAUUACUGUAUUUGACUAUGGCUUUUGCUCAUGGAUUACAUAAUGACUGUUAUGAUGGCUAAGAAUAGCUUUUGCUGUCGACUAUACUUUUCAGAUUCUUGGAUCCUCGUCUAUCCAUGUAUCUCUUAAGGCAUGCAAGUUCUCUAGACUGUCCUUUGUAUGUACAUUUGUUACAAGUCUUCUCAUUCUUUGAUAGGCGUCUUUAGCUUGUACCUCUCUUAAUCAAUGAGCUAAUCAAAUAUGUCAGACCCGAUGUUUAUUCUUUCUCUAUUCACUAUUUCUCCAUGACUAUCUCAGUCUUGAUUUUGACAGUGAAUAGGCCUCUUUAUUGUUCUGAAUAUAUAUCUUUUGUUUGUCUUAGCACAAUCUCAUUUCGUGACUGUAGUGUAAUUGUACAUCAUAAUGAAUUCUCCUUUAUAUCUGCUCAUUUGUAUCUGCUCACUGCUAUAGUGUUAUAUCAUUUCUUCAUGUCACUAUCUUAUCUCAGUUGUUCCAUUUAUUGCUAACAUGACUUAUCCUGUGAAUGUCCGUCCUUUUUUUUGGCUCUGAGAUUAAGCAUUAUGCUACUACUAUCACAGUUCCUUAUUGCCUAAAUCUGCUUGUAUGUUGUGAUCUCAUGUGUACUUUCUACAGCAGAUCUUGGAUGAAGAUUGUGAUUGUGGUUGCAUUUUAUCUUUAUAAAGACAAUGAUCAAGAUUAUUCUCUUUAUGCUAAGUGAUAUUACUACCCUUGGAUCCUUGGUUAAUAUUCUGCUCUAAUAUAUUUGAUAAUGGUGUAGCCCCGCGGAUACCCUUAUUAGAAAUGCUUCGUCGAGUGUGAUUUAGCCACGUGAAUUACUCUAGCACCAUAGCACUAUGUCUUCAUGCACUAAGCAAGGUAAGAUAACUGUCUCAGAGCUCCAAUAGGACUGCUCUACUUCUUUUGUGAUUGUAUGUCCUUUGUGAUCCUGUUGAUGACCUGCUAUGUGAGUGAAACCCUUUCAAUCUACAGGAAUGAGACCAUGAUCUGUUCUGAUCUGUUAUUUAAUAAUGAGCUAAAACUAUAAUCUGCUCCAUCAUUUGAUAAUCUGUACUAUUCUUGGCAGUAAUAUGACUAUCUCUUGCUAGAUGAGUCUCACUUUUAUUGUCCUUAUGGGUUGUUCAUUGUUUCACUACAUCCUCUAUCAGUGUUGUUGUGAUGUAAUAGCUAACAUGCAAAUCUAUGAUUGAUGGUUGUCACUCUAAUGUGCAACUCUUUGUGACUGUCUAGGGUUAUAGAUGAUAAUAUUGAUAACCUUGGGGCUUGACAUUGAAACUCCAUUGCUUUUAUCCCCUUUGGAUAGUAUAACUUUGCACUCUGGUUAUCCAUUACUCUUAUGACUGUAAUUGUUGUUAUUAAUCAUCUUUUGAUGACUGUGUCUCUUGGUUAUGACUGUCAUUUGGCAUACAUUUGAUAUGAGAUUUGCUUGAGAUCUAUCUUUCUAUAACUGUAACCAUUCCUUGGCUAUAAUAACCUUCUCUGUUACUUGAUAUAUUAAUAUGGAGCUAUUCUUUGUCUAUUACUUUUGAUAUGCUCCAUCUUUCAUACUGUCAUGUUCUAUGAAGGUAUAAAUAUUGUCUUAAGGUUUGUUGUUAUAUGUUUGCAAGAUUCCCGAGACUUGUUAGCUUGUUGCCUAUUGUUUAAAAUGCAUAUGACCAUUUGUUGAUGGAUUAAUCUAUCAUUGCCAAAGGCCUACUAAUUAUGUGUAUCUAACAUGAUAAUAUGACUAUCAUGGAUAUUCUCUACUGUCUUUUGAUAGUGAACCUUGAAAUAUCAAGGAUGAAAGCUGCAACAUUAUUUCUCGAGGAUUGGUCAUAGGUUGUAACAUUGUAUUGUGUUAUCCCUGUAAUGAUCUUAGCUCUCUAUGUAAGGGUUGUACUCUAGAGGUCUGCUAAUUUAUGCUCCUUACCAACAUUAAGCUUAUUGUAGCAAUAUUGAACUUAUAUUCAUGUAGUCUUGUGACUGCAAUCGCUUUUAGCUAUCUAUAACUUUUGUGAAUGACUGUUCUUUAUCAUAAAUAGCUAGGGUUUUGUCUUUAGCGUUAUAUCUUGCUAUGUGUUACUGUAACUUGUAGAUAUAACAACCUCUAUAUGUUAAAUAUGUAUCAAUGUAGAUCUUGAAUAUGUUGCCCACUGCUUAUGAUUUGCAUGUGCUUUUAACCUUCAAUGAUCCUUUUGAUUGAUCCACUUUGAGUUGAUCCUCAUUCUUUUCACAAUAUCUCUAUCUCGCUGUCAAAAUUGACUGUUCUUUGGAAUGUGAUCAUAUCUUCUCAACAUUAAAUAUCUCCAUCUAUUUACUGUGCAUUGACUGGGACUUCCACUUGCUCUGUUAUAUUUUGAAGACUGUACUUUUGCAUUAUUGUACUUUAAGCUUCUUAAAGGCUAUGAAUGCACUUUUAGGCUUUGACCUUUGAGGAUGACUAUUCUAGAUAUCUUUGAUAGAGAUUUCCAUUUUUCAUUGUGGACUGUUAUUAAUCAUAUGACUGCACUAUUUGCUUUUAAUAACUAUGAACAAUUUGAUCAUUGAUUGCGAAUCUGGGAGUGCAUCUUUGUGUUGAUCAAAGCCCUUACCAAGAUGCUCACUGUAUAUUGGUCACAAUAUCUGUUAUUUAUAAUUGUAUGCUCUAUGAAUUAGAUCUUGUGGCUCUGUCAUGGACUCUUGAUCAUGAUUGGUCUCUUCCUUCAAGGAUGAUUAAUCAUUGUUAUAUUGUAUUGAAUGUGAUUAUGGAGACUAUGUGGUGCCUUUCCUUGAUAUUUUUGUGAUAUAUUUCUCCUUGUAGCAUGAUUGUAUUUACUUUUGUGUAUUUGGACCAUGAACUUUGAUGAUAUUAAUGACUACAUUGAUUGCUUCUUAUCCCUACAACCUAUACCCCUGUAGCUAAAUUUUGGUGUAAGUGGAUUGCAUAUGAGAAUCCCCUUUUGAUA